UGUGCAAACACGGCACGAACUCCUCGACCUUACAAAUGGUUCAACAAUCAUAAAAUCUGUGAUUGGUUGACUUCUAUUGCUGAGCUUAUCAGCAUUGAACUAUGUUAAUCAAAAAAUUAAUGAUGUGUACCCUGAUAACUGAUAAAGAGAAUGCUGCCUCAAUUUCAAAGAAUGAUGGAAAUGGGAGAAAGACUGAAGAGAAUGAUGUGAAUAGAAAAAAUUUAUACAGAAAGAUUCUAAGUGCGUUUAGGUACAGUAAACCUUGGAUAGUUUGAACUUGGAUUAUCCAAACUUACCAUUAGGAAAGCUUUCUUUCUCCACUUUCUUCCAGUAGACAUGGCAGAACCAUUACUCUCUCUUUCUCUCUCUCCCCUAUAAAAAUCUUUACAUAGAGUACAGGUUCAAAUAACAUUUCUCUUUCUUGUAUCCUAUUCUUCAUGCUUUAUGAAUGAAUAGCGUCAAAAUGAGCUCAACAGCGAUGACCUCCGGAUAAUUUGAACUUAUGAUAAUUUAAACCAGCCAACCAUUACACUUGUUCAAGCACGAUAACAUCACCUGCUGAUACUGUGAUACUUCUAGAGGAUGACAAAUAGAAUGCUUUCUCCUUUCUCUGUCUACAAAAUGUUAUGGAUAAAAAAAAUGUUGUAGAAGAUGAUGUUAAAACUAAUCCUUAAGUACUUCAUUGGAAUAGAAUAUCUGAAUAUUUGAAUGUUUCUGUAUAAUUUGAGUCAAGAAUAAAACACCUGACCAUCUUCUAGAA